UACGUAGGGUGCAAGCGUUAAUCGGAAUUACUGGGCGUAAAGCGUGCGCAGGCGGUUUUGCAAGUCAGCUGUGAAAUCCCCGGGCUCAACCUGGGAACUGCAUUUGUGACUGCAUAGCUGGAGUGCGGCAGAGGGGGAUGGAAUUCCGCGUGUAGCAGUGAAAUGCGUAGAUAUGCGGAGGAACACCGAUGGCGAAGGCAAUCCCCUGGGCCUGCACUGACGCUCAUGCACGAAAGCGUGGGGAGCAAACAGG
rnacentral:rRNA from 1 species